UGGGCAGCAUACAAUUCCUUGUCAAA
rnacentral:misc_RNA from 1 species